ACUGCUCUGAGGGUGGUAGUGGUGAACAGGGCUGCCCAGGGAGGAGGCUGUGUAGGACCCAGGGCAGACAGGGGGCGAACGUGGGAGCCCCUGUGAGGUCUGGGGUGUGAGGAGUUAAUUGGGAUGCUCCUGUUCUCGCGCUAAUUCCGCUCUCUGUUCUCGCUCCUGCAGGGGAUCCCUGGUGCUACUGGCCCCAUCGGCCCCGCCGGGCCCCCGGGACUUCCUGGCCCGGCCGGUCCCAAGGGUGCGAAGGGAGCCACGGGACAAGCCGGCCCCAAGGGCGAGCGAGGCGUCCCCGGCCCCCCCGGACACCCGGUGAGUGACCCCCC